AACGAACGCUGGCGGCAUGCCUAACACAUGCAAGUCGAACGAGACCUUCGGGUCUAGUGGCGCACGGGUGCGUAACGCGUGGGAACCUGCCCUUAGGUUCGGAAUAACUCCCCGAAAGGGGUGCUAAUACCGGAUAAUGUCUUCGGACCAAAGAUUUAUCGCCUUUGGAUGGGCCCGCGUUGGAUUAGCUAGUUGGUAGGGUAAAAGCCUACCAAGGCGACGAUCCAUAGCUGGUCUGAGAGGAUGAUCAGCCACACUGGGACUGAGACACGGCCCAGACUCCUACCGGGAGGAGCAGUUGGGAAUAUUUGGCCAUGGGCCAAAGCCUGGUCCAGCAAUUCCGCGGGGGUGAUUAAGGCCUUUGGGUUGGUAAGCUCUUUUUACCGGGAAGAUAAUGACAGUACCGGGAGAAUAAGCUCCGGCUAACUCCGUG
rnacentral:rRNA from 1 species